rnacentral:rRNA from 1 species
CACGUAGGUGGCGACGUAAGUCGGGUGUGAAAUCCCCGGGCUCAACCUGGGAACUGCAUUCGAGACUGUGUUGCUGGAGUACGGAAGAGGAGGGCGGAAUUCCCGGUGUAGCGGUGAAAUGCGUAGAUAUCGGGAGGAACAUCAGUGGCGAAGGCGGCCCUCUGGUCCAGUACUGACACUCAAGUGCGAAAGCGUGGGGAGCAAACA